rnacentral:rRNA from 1 species
UCAGAUGCGAAAGCGUGGGUAGCAAACAGGAUUAGAUACCCUGGUAGUCCACGCCGUAAACGCUGUCUACUUGGAGGUUGAGGUUUUAGACUUUGGCUUUCGGCGCUAACGCAUUAAGUAGACCGCCUGGGGAGUACGGCCGCAAGGUUAAAACUCAAAUGAAUUGACGGGGGCCCGCACAAGCGGUGGAGCAUGUGGUUUAAUUCGAUGCAACGCGAAGAACCUUACCUACUCUUGACAUCCAGCGAAGCCUUUAGAGAUAGAGGCGUGCCUUCGGGAGCGCUGAGACAGGUGCUGCAUGGCUGUCGUCAGCUCGUGUUGUGAAAUGUUGGGUUAAGUCCCGCAACGAGCGCAACCCUUAUCCUUGUUUGCCAGCACGUAAUGGUGGGAACUCCAGGGAGACUGCCGGUGAUAAACCGGAGGAAGGUGGGGACGACGUCAAGUCAUCAUGGCCCUUACGAGUAGGGCUACACACGUGCUACAAUGGCAGAUACAGAGGGCAGCGAGACAGCGAUGUUUAGCGAAUCCCUUAAAGUUUGUCGUAGUCCGGAUUGGAGUCUGCAACUCGACUCCAUGAAGUCGGAAUCGCUAGUAAUCGUGGAUCAGAAUGCCACGGUGAAUACGUUCCCGGGCCUUGUACACACCGCCC